GCCUUCGUGGUGUAGUGGUCAGCACGCUCGACGCGUAUUCGAGAGGACCGUGGUUCAACUCCCGAUGAGGACA
rnacentral:tRNA from 1 species